GCUGGUGCAGGAGGUGUCCAUGGGCAAUGUCCUCAGCGCAAAGCUCGGCUAGGCCCCGGCCAGGCAGGCCUCUCUCCGCGUCGCCUGCCCAACACCGUACCCUGCACCACUGUCAACAAAGUCUGCUCGUCGGGGACGAAGGGAUAUGGAUGACUAUAUGAAGGGAUGCAGGUUUCUUCCCAAACUUAAGAAUGAGAUACCUGGUGAAACAAAUGCUCCCUAGUCCCUACAGGGAAAGGUUGAGCAGCCUAGAGAAUUUAGUACUGAUCAUGGGUGAUCGACGAGGACUACUGCGGCCUGAUGGGAGUCGUGCUCUUCAACUACUCGGAGGCAGACUUCACCGUGAAGCCCCGCGACCGCGUCAUACAGAUUAUCGUCCAGGUGAUUGCGACGCAGGAGGUCCCCGGGGUGGAGGACCUCGACGCCACCGUCCGGAGGUCACCGAGGUGGAGGAUGACGCCACCGUCCGGAGUUCCUUAAGGUGGAGGACCUUGACGCUUUGUACAUACAUAUAGAGAAGUGGUCUGGUUAGGUUGGUGGUGAAACGCUAGGGAAGGUACCAACCUUUUGAUGAUGGUUGUGUGCAUCCUCGUGAUCUCUUCGAGUUGAGAUGUUCAAUGUUGCAUCCAUGAACACUGCAAGUGUUAAGAUGGU